rnacentral:lncRNA from 1 species
GUCAGUUUCCUUUUCCUUCUACUUUCAUCGUAACUCUUUCGCUGCUUUUCGUCCCCAGUUGCAAUUGAAUUAUUAGGUCAAUUGAUUUUGAAAAAAAAGCGAACAUUGUAAUACUGUAGCGUAAUGACUUAAACAACCUUCUCAUGUACUUGGCCAAUGGGUAUAUGGGUCUUUUGGUUCAUUUCAGGUGAGAUGGGAAGAUAUUUUCCAAAAUAUCCAGUCCUUGUCCAUUUCCCGCACACUGAAAAGAUGACGUAACUUGUUGUCGGGGUUUUAUUAAUUAGUUAAUUCAUUUUUUGCUUCUGUUUAUAUUGACAUUGUUGAAUCGCCUUACUGACUCGUACUAGUGCUGAGUCAAAUACUAUCUAUGAACUUUUGACACACAAAUUAAAAUAAAAUAAUCCCUUUCAAAAAAAAAAAAACUUGUCAAUCAUCCCUUUCAAAAAAAAAAAAACUUGUCAAUCAUGUUUCAUAUCAUCACGCAGUCUUUUAACAGCAAUCACUUGACUUCUCUUUGAAACCCCCCCCCCAAAAAAAACCAAAAAACACUUCUCA